GAUGAACGCUGGCGGCGUGCUUAACACAUGCAAGUCGAACGGGAAACCUUUUAAUGAAGCUUCGGCAGAUUUAGCUGGUUUCUAGUGGCGGACGGGUGAGUAACGCGUGGGUAACCUGCCUUAUACAGGGGGAUAACAGUCAGAAAUGACUGCUAAUACCGCAUAAGCGCACAGGACCGUAUGGUCCGGUGUGAAAAACUCCGGUGGUAUAAGAUGGACCCGCGUUGGAUUAGCUUGUUGGUGGGGUAACGGCUCACCAAGGCGACGAUCCAUAGCCGGCCUGAGAGGGGGAACGGCCACAUUGGGACUGAGACACGGCCCAGACUCCUACGGGAGGCAGCAGUGGGGAAUAUUGCACAAGGGGGGAAACCCUGAUGCAGCGACGCCGCGUGAAGGAAGAAGUAUCUCGGUAUGUAAACUUCUAUCAGCAGGGAAGAUAGUGACGGUACCUGACUAAGAAGCCCCGGCUAACUACGUG
rnacentral:rRNA from 1 species